AUGCCGCCGCCCAAUCUCGAAGCGCGCGACUACAUCGGCCUCGGCCCCGCCGCGCCCGCGCCCUCCGCCUCCUCCUGCUCCUCCUCCGCCUCGGGCGAGGCCGGCCCGCACCUCGCGCUCCGCCUCGGCCUUCCCGGCCGCGACGAGCCGGAGGCCGCCGUCGACGCCGCGCUCACGCUGGGACCUGCUCCCGCUACUGCUAACGUCCCGCACAGGGGCGGCGCCAAGCGCGGGUUCGCAGACUCGCUCCUCGACCGUACUGCCCCUGCUGCCGGGGCUGGCGGGGAGGAGGACAAGCAGAAGGGUGAAGCCGCCGCCGCCGCCGGAGCCGGAGCUCCACCAGCUGCCAAGGCACAAGUUGUUGGGUGGCCGCCUGUUCGGAGCUACCGGAAGAACACGCUAGCCGCCAAUGCCACAAAGACCAAGGCGGAGAACGAAGGCAGAAGCGAGGCAGGAUGCUGCUAUGUCAAGGUCAGCAUGGAUGGGGCCCCAUACCUGAGGAAGGUCGAUCUUAAGACCUACUCCAGCUAUGACAACCUUUCCCUGGAGCUGGAGAAGAUGUUCAGCUGCUUCAUCACUGGCAAAAGCAGUUCCUGCAAAACAUCGACGAGAGACAGGCUCACUGAUGGUUCUAGGGCUGAUGCUCUUCAGGACCAAGAGUAUGUACUUACCUAUGAGGACAAGGAUGCUGACUGGAUGCUUGUUGGUGAUCUUCCUUGGGACUUGUUUACCACUACUUGUCGGAAACUGAGAAUCAUGAGAGGCUCUGAUGCUGCUGGAAUGGCCCCAAGAUAG
rnacentral:rRNA from 1 species